rnacentral:rRNA from 1 species
GGUUGCCUUCGGGAACGUCUGAGACAGGUGCUGCAUGGCUGUCGUCAGCUCGUGUUGUGAAAUGUUGGGUUAAGUCCCGCAACGAGCGCAACCCUUUAUCCUUUGUUGCCAGCGGUUAGGCCGGGAACUCAAAGGAGACUGCCAGUGAUAAACUGGAGGAAGGUGGGGAUGACGUCAAGUCAUCAUGGCCCUUACGAGUAGGGCUACACACGUGCUACAAUGGCGCAUACAAAGAGAAGCGACCUCGCGAGAGCAAGCGGACCUCAUAAAGUGCGUCGUAGUCCGGAUUGGAGUCUGCAACUCGACUCCAUGAAGUCGGAAUCGCUAGUAAUCGUGGAUCAGAAUGCCACGGUGAAUACGUUCCCGGGCCUUGUACACACCGCCCGUCACACCAUGGGAGUGGGUUGCAAAAGAAGUAGGUAGCUUAACCUUCGGGAGGGCGCUUACCACUUUGUGAUUCAUGACUGGGGUGAAGUCGUAACAAGGUAAGCGUAGUGCU